rnacentral:rRNA from 1 species
CGGAGUAGUUUGACGUCCUCGGCUCGAGGACGACGCUGGCGGCGUGCCUAAUACAUGCAAGUCGAACGGAGAUAUUCGCUGAUGAAGUACUUCGGUAAUGAAUCUUGGAGUAUCUUAGUGCGGACGGGUGAGUACGCGUGAGCAACCUGCCUUUCAGAGGGGAGUAACGUUUGGAAACGAACGCUAAUACCGCAUGACAUUAUCUUAUCGCAUGGUAGGAUAAUCAAAGGAGCAAUCCGCUGAAAGAUGGGCUCGCGUCCGAUUAGGUAGUUGGUGGGGUAACGGCCCACCCAAGCCGACGAUCGGUAGCCGGACUGAGAGGUUGGACGGCCACAUUGGGACUGAGACACGGCCCAGACUCCUACGGGAGGCAGCAGUAAGGGAUAUUGGUCAAUGGGGGAGACCCUGAACCAGCAACGCCGCGUGAGGGAAGACGGUUUUCGGAUUGUAAACCUCUGUCCUCUGUGAAGAUGAUGACGGUAGCAGAGGAGGAAGCUCCGGCUAACUACGUG